GAGUUUGAUCCUGGCUCAGAUUGAACGCUGGCGGCAUGCCUUACACAUGCAAGUCGAACGGCAGCACGGGAGCUUGCUCCUGGUGGCGAGUGGCGAACGGGCGAGUAAUGCAUCGGAACGUAUCCUGGAGUGGGGGAUAACGUAGCGAAAGUUGCGCUAAUACCGCAUAUUCUGUGAGCAGGAAAGCGGGGGACCUUCGGGCCUCGCGCUCUUGGAGCGGCCGAUGUCGGAUUAGCUAGUUGGUGAGGUAAAGGCUCACCAAGGCGACGAUCCGUAGCAGGUCUGAGAGGAUGAUCUGCCACACUGGAACUGAGACACGGUCCAGACUCCUACGGGAGGCAGCAGUGGGGAAUUUUGGACAAUGGGGGCAACCCUGAUCCAGCCAUGCCGCGUGAGUGAAGAAGGCC
rnacentral:rRNA from 1 species